GACGAACGCUGGCGGCGUGCCUAAUACAUGCAAGUCGAACGAACCGCGACUAAGUGCUUGCACUAAGUCAAGGUGAGUGGCGAACGGGUGAGUAACACGUGGGUAACCUACCUCAUAGUGGGGGAUAACAGUCGGAAACGACUGCUAAUACCGCAUAGGACAUAGGAUCACAUGAUCCAGUGAGGAAAGGUGGCGCAAGCUAUCGCUAAGAGAUGGACCCGCGGUGCAUUAGCUAGUUGGUAGGGUAAAGGCCUACCAAGGCGAUGAUGCAUAGCCGACCUGAGAGGGUGAUCGGCCACAUUGGGACUGAGACACGGCCCAAACUCCUACGGGAGGCAGCAGUAGGGAAUCUUCCGCAAUGGACGCAAGUCUGACGGAGCAACGCCGCGUGAGUGAAGAAGGUCUUCGGAUCGUAAAGCUCUGUUGUUAGAGAAGAACAGCGCAUAGAGUAACUGCUAUGCGUGUGGCGGUAUCUAACCAGAAAGCCACGGCUAACUACGUG
rnacentral:rRNA from 1 species